rnacentral:rRNA from 1 species
GACGAACGCUGGCGGCGUGCCUAAUACAUGCAAGUCGAACGAGAGCGACCGGUGCUUGCACUGGUCAAUCUAGUGGCGAACGGGUGAGUAACACGUGGGUAACCUGCCCAUCAGAGGGGGAUAACAUCCGGAAACGGAUGCUAAAACCGCAUAGGUCUUCGAACCGCAUGGUUUGAAGAGCAAAAGAGGCGCAAGCUUCUGCUGAUGGAUGGACCCGCGGUGCAUUAGCUAGUUGGUGAGGUAACGGCUCACCAAGGCCGUGAUGCAUAGCCGACCUGAGAGGGUGAUCGGCCACAUUGGGACUGAGACACGGCCCAAACUCCUACGGGAGGCAGCAGUAGGGAAUCUUCCGCAAUGGACGCAAGUCUGACGGAGCAACGCCGCGUGAGUGAAGAAGGUUUUCGGAUCGUAAAACUCUGUUGUUAGAGAAGAACAAGUGCUAGAGUAACUGUUAGCGCCUUGACGGUAUCUAACCAGAAAGCCACGGCUAACUACGUG